CGGAGCGUAGCGCAGCCUGGUAGCGCAUCAGCAUGGGGUGCUGAGGGUCGUGAGUUCAAAUCUCACCGCUCCGACCA
rnacentral:tRNA from 1 species